rnacentral:ncRNA from 1 species
AAACAUUCGCAGACGGGGAAGAGUAGCCCGCAAGCCCCCAUGACAGAGAGCCGGGACAGGUGAAAGCCGGUAUGGGAGCGAAGGGUGAAGAUGGCCCCUGAGAACCAGUCCCCAAGCCCGGUAAGGGUGUGUAAGGACGGGUGUUUCCGGCAUUAACGGACCAGUGUGAUCACUGAUGGAGGGCACCUGCCGUGAGGGGGUGCCGAAUGUUGGGUGGUAACGCGUGAGGAAAACCUCUCGCCCCAUGA